AUUGAACGCUGGCGGCAUGCCUUACACAUGCAAGUCGAACGGCAGCGGGGACUUCGGUCCGCCGGCGAGUGGCGAACGGGUGAGUAAUGUAUCGGAACGUACCAUUCAGUGGGGGAUAACUAUCCGAAAGGAUAGCUAAUACCGCAUAUUCUGUGAGCAGGAAAGCAGGGGAUCGCAAGACCUUGCGCUGAUUGAGCGGCCGAUGGCAGAUUAGGUAGUUGGUGGGAUAAAAGCUUACCAAGCCGAAGAUCUGUAGCUGGUCUGAGAGGACGAUCAGCCACACUGGGACUGCGACACGGCCCAGACACCUACGGGAGGCAGCAGUGGGGAAUUUUGGACAAUGGGGGCAAGCCUGAUCCAGCAAUGCCGCGUGCAGUAUGAAGGCCUUCGGUUUGUAAACUGCUUUUGUACGGAACGAAAAGCCCUGGGUUAAUACCCUGGGGUCAUGACGGUACCGCAAGAAUAAGCACCGGCUAACUACGUGCCAGCCGCCGCCGUAAUAC
rnacentral:rRNA from 1 species